rnacentral:rRNA from 1 species
UACGGAGGGGGCUAGCGUUGUUCGGAAUUACUGGGCGUAAAGCGCACGUAGGCGGUUACUCAAGUCAGAGGUGAAAGCCCGGGGCUCAACCCCGGAACUGCCUUUGAAACUAGGUGACUAGAAUCUUGGAGAGGUCAGUGGAAUUCCGAGUGUAGAGGUGAAAUUCGUAGAUAUUCGGAAGAACACCAGUGGCGAAGGCGACUGACUGGACAAGUAUUGACGCUGAGGUGCGAAAGCGUGGGGAGCAAACAGG